rnacentral:rRNA from 1 species
UACGUAGGCUCCAAGCGUUGUUCGGAAUUACUGGGCGUAAAGCGAGUGUAGGCGGUCCGUCAAGUCGGUUGUGAAAUCUCCUGGCUCAACUGGGAGGGUGCGAUCGAAACUGACGGACUGGAGUCUGGGAGAGGAGAGUGGAAUUCCUGGUGUAGCGGUGAAAUGCGUAGAUAUCAGGAGGAACACCGGUGGUGAAGACGGCUCUCUGGACCGGUACUGACGCUGAGACUCGAAAGCGUGGGGAGCAAACAGG